GACGAACGCUGGCGGCGUGCCUAAUACAUGCAAGUAGAACGCACAGUUUAUACCGUAGCUUGCUACACCAUAGACUGUGAGUUGCGAACGGGUGAGUAACGCGUAGGUAACCUGCCUGGUAGCGGGGGAUAACUAUUGGAAACGAUAGCUAAUACCGCAUAAUAUUAAUUAUUGCAUGAUAAUUAAUUGAAAGGUGCAAUUGCACCACUACCAGAUGGACCUGCGUUGUAUUAGCUAGUAGGUGAGGUAACGGCUCACCUAGGCGACGAUACAUAGCCGACCUGAGAGGGUGAUCGGCCACACUGGGACGGAGACACGGCCCAGACUCCUACGGGAGGCAGCAGUAGGGAAGCUUCGGCAAUGGACGAAAGUCUGACCGAGCAACGCCGCGUGAGUGAAGAAGGUUUUCGGAUCGUAAAGCUCGGUUGUAAGAGAAGAACGGGUGUGAGAGUGGAAAGUUCACACUGUGACGGUAUCUUACCAGAAAGGGACGGCUAACUACGUG
rnacentral:rRNA from 1 species